rnacentral:rRNA from 1 species
CUACGUGCCAGCAGCCGCGGUAAUACGGAGGGUGCGAGCGUUAAUCGGAAUAACUGGGCGUAAAGGGCACGCAGGCGGUGACUUAAGUGAGGUGUGAAAGCCCCGGGCUUAACCUGGGAAUUGCAUUUCAUACUGGGUCGCUAGAGUACUUUAGGGAGGGGUAGAAUUCCACGUGUAGCGGUGAAAUGCGUAGAGGUGUGGAGGAAUACCGAAGGCGAAGGCAGCCCCUUGGGAAUGUACUGACGCUCAUGUGCGAAAGCGUGGGGAGCAAACAGGAUUAGAUACCCUGGUAGUCCACGCUGUAAACGAUGUCGAUUUGGGGGUUGAACUUUAAGUUUGGCGCCCGUAGCUAACGUGAUAAAUCGACCGCCUGGGGAGUACGGCCGCAAGGUUAAAACUCAAAUGAAUUGACGGGGGCCCGCACAAGCGGUGGAGCAUGUGGUUUAAUUCGAUGCAACGCGAAGAACCUUACCUACUCUUGACAUCCAGA